rnacentral:misc_RNA from 1 species
GAAACACUCCAUCCACCAUAAUCAGAGUCGAACAUUUAAUCUCACUUAAGUAAAUCUAAUUACAUUAUUUCUAAUUCAUCUUUAUUAACAUUUUUCAAAAAAAUUAUCAAGGACAACUAAAUAGAUAAAAAUACUUGCACAACUCACUAAAACAAGAGAGCAAAUACAAUCAUUACCCUUAAAAAAUUAAUUUAUAUUUAUUACCUUAGAAAGCAAUAAAUAUUUUAAAUAUUCUUCUCAUUUUAUAAGCAGCAGCAGGAAAUCCACAGCAAUGGCAUUGUCAUCGACUCAUCGUUAUUCAUUGUUAUGUUAAAUUAACUUGCAUUGAUUUCCUCCCCGCAUCAGAUUCUUGAUUUUUUCACUUUUAUCAUCUUUCUCAUCCUUACUGAUCAAAAGCCACAUAAGUCAUUGUCCAGUCGUACAACUUCACUUGAGAAUAAAACUUGAAUUUUGUUUCUAAAUUCCAUCGGACGGUCAAGCUGCGCCAGGUUCUUUGGAAUCUACGGAUGCAAUGGCAACCUGAAAUACAACAGCUUCAGCUUUAAUGGCAAAAAUUGUCAUCCACACUCGAAUACAAUAUCAGCAAAAGAUUAAAACCAAUGUGCCUCAGAAUUGC